GAUGAAGAACGUAUCGAAAUGCGAUACUUGGUGUGAAUUGCAGAAUCCCGUGAACCAUCGAGUCUUUGAACGCAAGUUGCGCCUCAAGCCAUUAGGUUGAGGGCACGUCUGCCUGGGCGUCACAUAUCGUUGCCUGAUGCCAGUUUCCUCGUGAUGGGUGACUGUGCAGGGCGAAUGAUGGCUUCCCGUGAGCAUUGUUGCCUCAUGGUUGGUUGAAAAUUGAGUCCUUGGUAGGGAGCGCCGUGAUAGAUGGUGGUUGAGUGACGAACGAGACCCAAUCAUGUGAGACCCCUACCGAAUUUGGCCUUCAUGACCCACAUGCGUCUUUGGAACGCUCAUGACGAGACCUCAGGUCAGGCGGGGCUACCCGCUGAGUUUAAGCAUAUCAAUAAGCGGAGGA
rnacentral:misc_RNA from 1 species